rnacentral:rRNA from 1 species
GUGCUUGCACCUGAUUGACGAUGGAUCACCAGUGAGUGGCGGACGGGUGAGUAACACGUAGGUAACCUGCCCCGGAGCGGGGGAUAACAUUUGGAAACAGAUGCUAAUACCGCAUAACAACAAAAGCCACAUGGCUUUUGUUUGAAAGAUGGCUUUGGCUAUCACUCUGGGAUGGACCUGCGGUGCAUUAGCUAGUUGGUAAGGUAACGGCUUACCAAGGCGAUGAUGCAUAGCCGAGUUGAGAGACUGAUCGGCCACAAUGGAACUGAGACACGGUCCAUACUCCUACGGGAGGCAGCAGUAGGGAAUCUUCCACAAUGGGCGCAAGCCUGAUGGAGCAACACCGCGUGAGUGAAGAAGGGUUUCGGCUCGUAAAGCUCUGUUGUUGGAGAAGAACGUGCGUGAGAGUAACUGUUCACGCAGUGACGGUAUCCAACCAGAAAGUCACGGCUAACUACGUGCCAGCAGCCGCGGUAAUACGUAGGUGGCAAGCGUUAUCCG